rnacentral:tRNA from 1 species
GCGGACGUGGCGAAACUGGUAGACGCAAGAGACUUAAAAUCUCUCGACUUCGGUCUUGCGGGUUCGAUCCCCGCCGUCCGCA